UACAGAGGGUGCAAGCGUUGUUCGGAAUUAUUGGGCGUAAAGCGUACGUAGGCGGCUCGUUAAGUUUGGUGUGAAAUCCCUGGGCUCAACCUAGGACGUGCACCGAAAACUGGCGAGCUUGAAUCUCGGAGAGGGUGGUGGAAUUCCCAGUGUAGAGGUGAAAUUCGUAGAUAUUGGGAGGAACACCGGUGGCGAAGGCGACCACCUGGACGAAGAUUGACGCUGAGGUACGAAAGCGUGGGGAUCAAACAGG
rnacentral:rRNA from 1 species